AACGAACGCUGGCGGCAUGCCUAACACAUGCAAGUCGAACGAUGCCUUCGGGCAUAGUGGCGCACGGGUGCGUAACGCGUGGGAAUCUGCCCUUGGGUUCGGAAUAACUCAGAGAAAUUUGAGCUAAUACCGGAUGAUGACGUAAGUCCAAAGAUUUAUCGCCCAAGGAUGAGCCCGCGUAAGAUUAGCUAGUUGGUGGGGUAAAGGCCUACCAAGGCGACGAUCUUUAGCUGGUCUGAGAGGAUGAUCAGCCACACUGGGACUGAGACACGGCCCAGACUCCUACGGGAGGCAGCAGUGGGGAAUAUUGGACAAUGGGCGAAAGCCUGAUCCAGCAAUGCCGCGUGAGUGAUGAAGGCCUUAGGGUUGUAAGCUCUUUUACCAGGGUAUGAUAAUGACAGUACCUGGAGAAUAAGCU
rnacentral:rRNA from 1 species